rnacentral:lncRNA from 1 species
GGGAACUGUUUGGGGAGUUAUUGGUCAAAGAGUUACUGCCAUAAAAUGAAUUGGAUUGUAGGCUACUAUUUGUUUGCUGUUGCUGUUGUUGUGGCUGGGCACCAAGUGGCCGAAAUAGACCGUUCGUGGCUCCCGUGAGAUUGUUUGCUGUUCCUCCAGCUGAAGCAGCUGCAGCUGCUUGUGCUGCUGCAGAACUAAUUAUAACAGGAGUUGAGGCCACCAAUCUGACUGGUGCUCCAAGGCCAGUUCUUGCUCCAGGUCCUACUACUAAGGCACCAGUCUGAUCAUAAUAGGCAGUGGGAGCUAGUACUUGAUAGCCUGGCAUGCCUGUAGCAAGACCCUGACCAAAAGCCAAAGCUGGAUUUGCUGCUGCAGCUGCUGCAAGUGACUCUGCUUGCUGCCCUUGCUGACCCUGACUGGGAGUAAGCGGGCGCUGAGUUGCUCCAGCACGCAGAACCGGCUGCUGUCCCUGUUGUGCCUGGGAGGCUGCUUGUUGAUUUGCUGUGGUAUUUGCUGCUGCAGCUUGCUGCUGAAAUAAAUUGGCUGGAUACACCCCCCAUGGAACACCAUAAUACUGAGGCGGAACCACAGCAGGACCUGCUAGGGUGGCUGCUGCAGCUAAUCCAGCUGCAGUGUACGGGUCAGUACCUGGAGGAGCAGCACUGAUAAUGUAUGGGUUUGGCACAAAAGCAGCUGGAGCCAAGCCUGCUGAGAAUACACCUAUGUGAGGCUGCUGAGCCGCAGCCAGGGCGUACUGCUGCUGCUGGGCUGCUGUUAACUGCUGCACAGUCAGAGC